GCCCGGCGCCGCGCACUGCCGAUACAGCGCCGGCGCUGUCGCGGUGAUGUGACGGCAUCGCUCGUCGCCGCGGCCGCUCCCCUUCCAGCGUUACCCGGCCGGUGCCCGGUGCCCCUGAGGUCCCGUCCCGUCCGGUGCGGCGGGCAGGAUGCACCAGAAGCUGCUGCGGAGCGCGCACUACAUCGAGCUGGGGAGCUACCAGUAUUGGCCGGUACUGGUGCCCCGUGGCAUACGUCUCUACACCUACGAGCAGAUCCCCGUUUUCCUGAAGGACAACCCCUACAUCACCGACGGCUACCGGGCCUACCUACCCUCCCGCCUCUGCCUCAAGAGUCUCUUCAUCCUCUCCAACGAGACCGUCAACAUCUGGAGCCACCUGCUCGGCUUUGCCCUUUUCUUCACGCUGGGAAUAUACGACCUGACGGCUGUGCUGCCGGCCGCCGGAGCCUCCCGGGAGGACUUCGUCAUCUGCUCCAUCUGCCUCUUCUGCUUCCAGGUGUGCAUGCUCUGCUCAGUAGGAUAUCAUCUUUUCUGUUGUCACCGCUCAGAGAAGACCAGCCGGCGAUGGAUGGCAUUAGAUUAUGCAGGAAUUUCCAUCGGGAUCCUGGGCUGCUAUGUAUCAGGCGUCUUUUAUGCAUUUUAUUGUAAUAAUUACUGGCGUCAGGUAUAUUUAAUCACUGUGCUGGCAAUGGUCUUGGCAGUGUUUUUUGCUCAGAUUCAUCCCAGUUACCUCACACAACAGUGGCACAGACUUCGCUCCAUCAUCUUCUGCUCCGUGUCUGGAUACGGAAUCGUUCCCACCAUCCACUGGGUUUGGCUCAACGGCGGCAUUGGUGCAUCUAUUGUACAGGAGUUUGCUCCGCGUGUAGUUGUCAUGUACUUCAUCGCUGCUGUAGCUUUUCUCUUCUAUAUUUCCAAAGUUCCAGAAAGAUACUUCCCAGAUGAAAUUUCUGACGUUGAGGUCUGCACCUUACCUGCUGAGCUGAGUUAUGAGGUGAAGCACCGAGGCAGUUCCUUUUCUGACUUCUGGACUGUUACCUGGUUGCUGUUGGGUUAUGGUGACACUUGAAAAAAUGAACAGCGUGGCCUGGGAUCUGAGAUGCAUUUUCUUCCUGUUCUGCAUUCCAGUAUAAAAAGGUCUUCCUGGAGUGUGACAAUGGAAAGAUGGGCUGUAAGACUCAGCGUUUGUUCUGCUUGGGAGACAAAACAACAGAACUGAGUGAAACCUGCUGAGCUCCCCAGCCCACAUACCCGGUAUCGAGCCAAGCCAGUUCUAAGUGCACUGAUUACUACUGCUGAAGCCUGAGGAGGAACCAGCAAGUAGAAAAGCCCAUUUCCAAUGUUAUGUGAAAAAAAAAAAAAAAAAAACAUUUGAAGAACAUGUGUUUGUGUAUUGAGAGCAUACUGACUUGAUAAUUCUCUAAGGUAUUUUUAUGUCAGCUCUCACCUACUGUAGCAGUUUUCACUGGAUCAGGAAACUGACUGCCAAGAUGUACAUUUUUAUUACCCUGAACUUUAUCAAGCUGCAUGAUGGUCUUCUAUGUAUGUACUGAACCUGUAAAUAAAUUCCACUUCAUUGGCCA